UACGUAGGUGGCAAGCGUUGUCCGGAAUUAUUGGGCGUAAAGCGCGCGCAGGCGGUCCUUUAAGUCUGAUGUGAAAGCCCACGGCUCAACCGUGGAGGGUCAUUGGAAACUGGGGGACUUGAGUGCAGGAGAGAAGAGUGGAAUUCCACGUGUAGCGGUGAAAUGCGUAGAUAUCAGGAGGAACACCGGUGGCGAAGGCGGCUACCUGGACCAAUACUGACACUGAAACGCGAAAGCCAGGGGAGCAAAGCGGGGAUUAAGAUGACCCUUGAGUCC
rnacentral:rRNA from 1 species